rnacentral:rRNA from 1 species
GACGAACGCUGGCGGCGUGCUUAACACAUGCAAGUCGAACGGAAAGGCCCUGCUUUUGUGGGGUGCUCGAGUGGCGAACGGGUGAGUAACACGUGAGUAACCUGCCCUUGACUUUGGGAUAACUCAGGAAACUGGGGCUAAUACCGGAUAGGAGCUCCUGCUGCAUGGUGGGGGUUGGAAAGUUUCGGCGGUUGGGGAUGGACUCGCGGCUUAUCAGCUUGUUGGUGGGGUAGUGGCUUACCAAGGCUUUGACGGGUAGCCGGCCUGAGAGGGUGACCGGCCACAUUGGGACUGAGAUACGGCCCAGACUCCUACGGGAGGCAGCAGUGGGGAAUAUUGCACAAUGGGCGGAAGCCUGAUGCAGCAACGCCGCGUGCGGGAUGACGGCCUUCGGGUUGUAAACCGCUUUCGCCUGUGACGAAGCGUGAGUGACGGUAAUGGGUAAAGAAGCACCGGCUAACUACGUG